AUAAGAUUAAUUUUUGUUUAGAAUAGAAUUUUAUAAGUUUAGUUCUUCAGAAACCUAGAGAGAUGAACUAGAGAGCUAAUAUCUAAAGAUCGUUUGUAGAGCCAUGAAUCAAAAGUGUUGAGUCGAUGCAAAGUUGUUUCGGUUGUUUCUCAGGGUUCUCUUUCUCUUCCUUGGUUCACAUCUAUUUCAAGUAUGAUGGCAGAAUAAGGAUAAGUUUGAGGUGGCGUGAAGUGGAGGUCAUUUGGUAGAUGAUGGAGUGAAGUCUUUUGAGGCUACUCUUAGGUAGUUAUUGUAUGGAUGUGUUUGACCGACGCCUAGGACUACGCUUUGGUUAU